rnacentral:rRNA from 1 species
UACGAAGGGGGCUAGCGUUGUUCGGAUUUACUGGGCGUAAAGCGCACGUAGGCGGAUCGUUAAGUCGGGGGUGAAAUCCUGGAGCUCAACUCCAGAACUGCCUUCGAUACUGGCGAUCUUGAGUCCGGAAGAGGUGAGUGGAACUCCUAGUGUAGAGGUGGAAUUCGUAGAUAUCAAGCGGAACACCGGUGGCGAAGGCGGCCUUCUGGACAGUGACUGACGCUGAGACGCGAAAGCGUGGGGAGCAAACAGG